rnacentral:rRNA from 1 species
GACGAACGCUGGCGGCGUGCCUAAUACAUGCAAGUAGAACGCUGAAGGAGGAGCUUGCUCUUCUGGAUGAGUUGCGAACGGGUGAGUAACGCGUAGGUAACCUGCCUGGUAGCGGGGGAUAACUAUUGGAAACGAUAGCUAAUACCGCAUAACAGUAGAUGUUGCAUGACAUUUACUUAAAAGGUGCAAUUGCAUCACUACCAGAUGGACCUGCGUUGUAUUAGCUAGUUGGUGGGGUAACGGCUCACCAAGGCGACGAUACAUAGCCGACCUGAGAGGGUGAUCGGCCACACUGGGACUGAGACACGGCCCAGACUCCUACGGGAGGCAGCAGUAGGGAAUCUUCGGCAAUGGACGGAAGUCUGACCGAGCAACGCCGCGUGAGUGAAGAAGGUUUUCGGAUCGUAAAGCUCUGUUGCAAGAGAAGAACGAGUGUGAGAGUGGAAAGUUCACACUGUGACGGUAUCUUACCAGAAAGGGACGGCUAACUACGUG